rnacentral:rRNA from 1 species
GACGAACGCUGGCGGCGUGCCUAAUACAUGCAAGUAGAACGCAGUUGCGAACGGGUGAGUAACGCGUAGGUAACUGCCUCAUAGCGGGGGAUAACUAUUGGAAACGAUAGCUAAUACCGCCUACUGUGUGAUGGACCUGCGUUGGAUUAGCUAGUUGGUGAGGUAAAGGCUCACCAUGGCGACGAUACAUAGCCGACGUGAGAGGGUGAUCGGCAACACUGGGACUGAGACACGGCCAAGCUUCCUACGGGGGGCAGCAGUAGGGAAUCUUCGGCAAUGGACGGAAGUCUGACCGAGCAACGCCGCGUGAGUGAAGAAGGUUUUCGGGUCGUAAAGCUCUGUUGUGAGAGAAGCGGUAUCUAACCAGAAAGGGACGGCUAACUACGUGCCAGCAGCCGCGGUAAUUC